rnacentral:lncRNA from 1 species
UAUGGGUCGCUAUGGGUCACUUAUGGGUCGCUAUGGGGCAGGCGCGGCGGCGGGCUCGCUGUUCUCGGGGGGCCGCUACGCCCUGGACCCGGAGCUGCGCGGGGCCGAAUUCGAGCGCCUGACCCAAAACCUGGAGGUCGGCUUCUGGAAGAGCUUCUGGAACCUCACCGAGAACCAGCUGCUGGCGGUGAGGCCCCAAAAACCCCCCAAAUGACCCCAAAACCGACCCCAAAAACCAGAACCCCAAAACUGACCCCAAAACCCAAAACUGACCCCAAAACUGACCCCAAAACCCAAAACCGACCCCAAAAACCCCAAAACCACCCCAAAAACCCCCAAACUGAGCCCAAAACUGACCCUAAAACACCAAAACCGACCCCAAAACUGACCCCAAAACUGACCCCCAAACCCAAAACUGACCCCAAAACCGACCCCAAAAACCAGAACCCCAAAACCGACCCCAAAAACCCCAAAACUGACCCCCAAAACCCCCAAACUCAGCCCAAAACUGACCCUAAAACCCCAAAACUGAGCCCAAAACCACCCCAAAAACCCAUGACAGACUCCAAAAACCCCCAAAAUGAGCCCCAAAACCCCAAAACUGACCCCAAAACUGACCCCAAAACCCAAAACCCCAAAACCGACCCCAAAAACCCCAAAACUGACCCCCAAAAC